rnacentral:lncRNA from 1 species
UACACUUCAUCCACAACUAUCAUUGUAUACACAUUCCAGUACCCAACCAUUAUCAGAGGCCAUAUUAUCUCAGCUACAGUCAUCAGAUGUUGCAAUUAAAAUCACUUAUUCUACAUAUGUAAAAUUAAAAUCAUUGUACUAUCUUAUCUUAUUAUUGUAUUUGGAUAUUGAUUAGGUUAUUCGAGUCAGUCAACUUCUAGCC